rnacentral:lncRNA from 1 species
UUUGAUUUAUGCCUACUCACAUAUACUUGGUACAUGCACGUUCCUUAGAGGAGGGGAGAUAGGAAGACACACAUGUAAAUUUCCACCUCAGUUUGGAAACAGAUACUGCAAUCCCAGAAAAUCUUGCCAUAAGAAGAGCCUAGCCAAUAGUUUGACUGCGAUUUCAUGGGAGACCUCAAGGCAGAGUGAUCCAGAAUACCACAGUCUGGAGGCUAUGAAGUCCAUGAUUAAGAAGCCAGCACGUUUGCUUUCUGGUUCCAAGAUGGCAUACCUUUUUGCUGCUUCCUCCAGAGAGGAGGAACACUGUGUUCUCACAUAGUAGAAGAUGGAAGGAGCAGAUGCAGAUGAGCAUGGCAAUGUGAGAAUAUGUCAGAGGCCCCAGGAUGAAAUGAGCUCAAGUCCCUGAAAUCCCUGUUAGAAGAGUCUUUCCACUGGUUGGGAAUGCUAAUUGUAUUUUGACAACUCAAUGUUUCAGCAACUCAAAAUGUUACAGCUUCUGCAUUGGAAUAA